rnacentral:rRNA from 1 species
UCCUACGGGAGGCAGCAGUGGGGAAUCUUAGACAAUGGGCGCAAGCCUGAUCUAGCCAUGCCGCGUGAGUGAUGAAGGCCCUAGGGUCGUAAAGCUCUUUCGCCAGGGAUGAUAAUGACAGUACCUGGUAAAGAAACCCCGGCUAACUCCGUGCCAGCAGCCGCGGUAAUACGGAGGGGGUUAGCGUUGUUCGGAAUUACUGGGCGUAAAGCGUACGUAGGCGGAUUAGUAAGUUAGAGGUGAAAUCCCAGGGCUCAACCCUGGAACUGCCUUUAAUACUGCUAGUCUUGAGUUCGAGAGAGGUGAGUGGAAUUCCGAGUGUAGAGGUGAAAUUCGUAGAUAUUCGGAGGAACACCAGUGGCGAAGGCGGCUCACUGGCUCGAUACUGACGCUGAGGUACGAAAGUGUGGGGAGCAAACAGGAUUAGAUACCCUGGUAGUCCACACCGUAAACGAUGAAUGCCAGACGUCGGGUAGCAUGCUAUUCGGUGUCACACCUAACGGAUUAAGCAUUCCGCCUGGGGAGUACGGUCGCAAGAUUAAAACUCAAAUGAAUUGACGG